AGGAUUUACCUGAGGUCCGACUUUCUUUUUUUGCAUCUUCAUCUUUAUUAACAUUUUUGUCAGCUUUAUUUACAAAAAGGAUGAAAAGCCAUAUUUACAAACAGAUCUUCUGAACAAGGGCGAAAGUCGACAGAAAUACAAUCACUGAAAUCGAGCACAGACACGAUCUUUGUGGUUGGAAACCAACUGUUGUGCAAGCACAGUUAGAAGAAUGGUACCACAUGAGAAUGUGCUAUAACCAAAGAGAGCCAGAAGAGGGCACACUUCAUCUACUCAAACAUUUCCAAAGUCCAGAGGAGAAUCAUCUGAAACAAGAUCACUAUUCUGUAAAAGGCUCAAAUGCUGUAUCACAACACAAAGAUCUCUGAACCAGUUUUCUGUGGUCAAAAGCAGAAAGUCGUUUUGUUCCAUCCAAGCUCUAAAUGCUCGAAGAAUACAGAUGUCUGUAUUUGCCUGUGAUCCAGUGUUUUGGAGCCGUUUGCACGUGUACAAACUGUAAAUGUGACGUAAAUACACGUCGUUUGGAGAAUGAAUCUCAUGUUUGCUUCAGUUUUUUUCUUCGUUACAAACUGAAGACAGAAGAAAAAAAGCCUCUCUGCUCAGGAGACGUGAGCUGACUCAGAGUCACGUGAACCGUGGUCAGAGGUCCUCACAGUAUCACCAUUCAUGGGAGCAGAUAUGUACAGGUAAAUACAUACCUGCCUUGUUUUACAUUCAAGCAACACAGUGCCUUUAAAUACGACUCUCUCCAAAACAGCUCCCGAGACACAAUCAUUAGAAAGGCAACUUCAAGACGAAUCACAGUGUAAUUCUUUCUCAGCAACAAAUCAGGAAUCCCAAAAGGUCAGCAGUUUGAAAUCGUCCUGAAAAUGUAGUGCUUCUUCACGUACAUACGAAUAUUAUUACACAUUAGAAAUAAAGUAGAAACGGUGGCAUUUGGCUCUCUUAUCAGCGAUGUGCACUCGCUGCAUCUGGAGACGUUGGCUGGUUUUCAGUAAAUCACAAGUUACAGAGACAACACCUCCAAGUCAAGCAUGGCACCAGUUUACAGAGGAGAGGUUUUUUGGCAAGCAGAUUUACACCAUGCACAGUACCGCCGUAGAGAAACACACACACACACAUACACACACACACACACACACACACCAAACACAACGAGUGGUGUGUGAGCGAGGAGAGAGAGUUCAAGAGACCACGCUUGUAACAGCAGGACCUAAAAGGAGAGGAUGGGGACCAAAGUGUCAUUCUUCUGGUGGCCAGUAGGGGGAGACUCCACUGACUGCAGAUCAGGAAAAGACUCCACUUUACGAUAAUUUACCUCAAUAAACAUUUUCUGAUUAUUUUUCUGGUUUCCAGUUUUUAGUAAACUUUAAUCAAAAGUCCUGUGAGUUUAAGUUCAGGACUACCUCUGAUUAAGAAAGUGUUACCAUGGUGACCGGUCCGUGUAUUAUCCGUCCAUUCAAUUAUUCCAUACAAUCUAGUAAACAAAAAAAAUAAAAAAUUAGUCAAUAGUUUGUUUAUUUGUUUUUCUGUAUCACCAAAAAAUAAAAAAAAAUUAGUGUUUGUUUUCAUAUUUUCAGCUCAAAACAGAAUUUAUAAUAGAGAAGGAAACAAAAAUGAAAUAAUAAAUAAUUAUUUACAAUUAUUAAUUUUGAGUGCGUCUGUUUUGAGCAUACGUGAAUGGAGGUUACAUUGGCCUUUCCAUGAUCCUCAGCUACAGUUACCACGGCGAUAGAUGCGACAGAGCGGUUCGAGCGCCAAAAUCUUCGUUUACUAGAUUAAAUAGAAUAAUUGAACGGACGGAUAAUACACGGACCCUGACCUUUUAACCACAAACAACACGUUCAUCCAUCUCUUGUUGAAAUAAAUUCAAUUCUAGCCCCAAAAAAUCCAAGAUAACGCUAAAACCACAGAAUUCCAAGAUUCACUGCAGCCGUUUGGACCUGCGUCAGAAACUCAAAUAUUGGAUGUUUUCAAAGUGAGGCGUCAAUAUUUAACGCUGAGAAAUUUCAAACUGCCGUCAGCAAAUGAAAUAAAAACAAACGUAAAAGCCGAUUGAGCUCACUCUGCUCUAAAAACCAUCACAUUUAAAGAACUCUUCCUGUCACGUGAUGUCGGCUCUGAACAUCGAACAGAACAUUACAGAACAUUAUCGCAAUUCUGAAUCUCCGAACCCUUACCCGACAGACGAUGUUUUACAACCAUAAAGAAUAACCAAUCAGAGCCCAACACUUCUAGCCAAUCGGAGGCAAAGGAGGGCGGGACCUUCCCCUACAAUCUAACAGGAAAAAAUAUCGCGUCCUAGCUGACCGAGAGCAAACUGUUAGCUUGCUAAAAUCAGAGAAAGUUAGCUAAGAUAAAGGUUAGCCAGCCGAGAUUAGCGUAAUAUAGCUAACAUUAGACAUAGCCAGCUACAGUUAGCGUAGAGAAGCUAACAUUAGACAUAGCCAGCUGAGAUAAUGGCUAGCCAGCUGAAAUUAGCGUAAUGUAGCUAACACUAGAUUUAGCCAGCUACAGUUAGCAAAAGGAAGCUAACAUUAGACUUAUCCAGCUGAAAUUAGUGUAAUGUAGCUAACAUUAGACGUAGCCAGCUACAGUUAGCGUAGGGAAGCUAAGAUUAGACAUAGCCAGCAAAGAUGAAGGUUAGCUGACUGAUAUUAGCGUAAUGUAGCAAACAUUAAACUGAUAUUAUAGUACAGUAGCUAAAGU
rnacentral:lncRNA from 1 species